rnacentral:lncRNA from 1 species
GAAGACGCCUCCACCCUCUCUCCCGCCAGAAGUGACGUCAGUCACGUGGGAGGACAAUGGUGAGAAGAGGGAACCUAAGAAUUCCUGGACUCUGACUGGGCGUGAGAAAUGGCCGGAAGUAGCUUCGAGUCCGUCAUUCAAGCAGUAGAGGCUCUGGAGAAAAACUGGAGCGCAUCUGCUUAAAGGGCCGCCCAGGGUCAGGAUGGAGGGGCAAAGUCCGAGCAGGGUCAGUGGGUUGCUGCUCCGUUUUCCUGUCCUGGGUUCAAGUCACCCUUCCCCCAGGGCUAAGGGCUCAGCGCCCCUACCGUCUCGUUAGAAAUCCUGCCUUCCCAUUCCUAUGGUCCAGUGGUCAGCCCUCCUAGCCUGAGAGGUGCAGCCUUGCCUCUCCGAGGGGAAGCCUGACUCUCCCGAUGGCCAGCCUGGGGCCCCUGGACGGCUCUCCGGGCACUUUCUGAACACACCUCCCUUUAGGACCCAGGGGAAAUAAUUUGUCCCACGCCCAUACCCUGGGCGAGUUCCUGGUUUCUGAGGUGGGAGAGCCAUCACUGGAGAGGUGGCAUUGGCGCCAGUACUCAGGCCAGAAGCCCCUUGUGCCCUGCUCUCAGAACACAGGCCCCAGACCAGGAAGGCAUUCUGCUAAAGAAGGGGACCCGAAACCUCAGCUACCAGCGCCGAUGGUUCAUCCUCCGAGGAAACCUCCUCUUCUACCUAGAACACUAGACCGACCAUGCACCCCUGAGCCUCAUCCUGUUAGAGAACUGCCAGGUGGAACCACACCUUAAGGCUGCAGAACCCUAUGCCUUUACCAUCCUGACCCCUGGGGUGGAGGGCACAGGUGGGCGGGCCUACAAGCUGGCUGCAGAAACCCAGGAAGAGCUGGAGACUUGGCUGUGGGCACUGGCUGGCGCGAGCUGGAGGCGGCUGGCUGGGCUGCUGUCCCCCCUCCCCCCCCACCAAAACCCAAUACUGGGAGCUGUGCCAGGCAACUGGCCAAGAACCCAUCUCAUCCCCAGAGGACAGUGGCUUUCUAGCCACUGUGAGUACCCCCUCCAGCUUCCAGGAGUUGCAUGAGCACUUUGGGAAGGAGAUCCGGGUGCUGCACGUGGUACAUAGAGAGCUCCAGGCAGCCAGUGACAAUGGAGACAGCAGAUCCCAGGCAAAGAUGGAGCAGGAGCUCAACCAGUGUCUGAUGAGUGACUGAGAGAUGGACCCAAAGCUAAGAGGUACCUACUUGCCAAGACAGCAGACUGCUUCAACAGAGACCCAGGUCCUGGCUCUGUCCCUCCCUCCCUCGUCCUUACCCCAUCCCCCCCUCAUCAAAUAACAAGGCAGAAAACAGGCCCAGGUA